UAGGGAAUCUUCCACAAUGGACGCAAGUCUGAUGGAGCAACGCCGCGUGAGUGAAGAAGGUUUUCGGAUCGUAACGCUCUGUUGUUGGUGAAGAAGGAUAGAGGCAGUAACUGGUCUUUAUUUGACGGUAAUCAACCCGAAAGUCACGUCUAACUACGUGCCAGCAGCCGCGGUAAUACGUAGGUGGCAAGCGUUGUCCGGAUUUAUUGGGCGUAAAGCGAGCGCAGGCGGAAUGAUAAGUCUGAUGUGAAAGCCCACGGCUCAACCGUGGAACUGCAUCGGAAACUGUCAUUCUUGAGUGCAGAAGAGGAGAGUGGAAUUCCAUGUGUAGCGGUGGAAUGCGUAGAUAUAUGGAAGAGAACCAGUGGCGAAGGCGGCUCUCUGGUCUGCAACUGACGCUGAGGCUCGAAAGCAUGGGUAGCGAACAGG
rnacentral:rRNA from 1 species